AUGGGCUUUCCUGUGCCUCUAGAGUCAAACAUUUUCAGCAAAUAAGAAACAUGGCCGAUAAGGAGGAGAAAAUUCACCUCUGAACAUCAUUUUACAAAUUAUAUCUCAGAAAUAACUGAGUGAGUUCAGGAACUAUAGGAGUACAAUAGAGGGCUCCAUGCACCCCUUUGCCAGCCUUUUUUUAGACUCCACAAAGAAUACAGCCAUAAUACAACUGUGUAUAUGAGCCCUUAAAAGAUGACCAUACACAUUAGAUCAAUGGGCCAAUUCACGUCUAAUUUUCCUCAUGGACCGUCAGUCCGUACAGAGGAGAUUGCAGCAGACUUUGCUUUGGUCCGAUUUUCUCUGAAGACCUGUCCAUGAGAAAAUUACCUAGUACAUGGACACAUCUGUGAGUGGAUGUAUUCAAACAUUCUCUGUUUUUAGAGGCUGGAGCAUGGAUGAGUUUUAGAUCUUAAUAUAGUUGGCCAACCGUUAUCUCUACCAGCUACCCCAAUACACAUGCAUGUUCGGUUCGGCCAAAUGUGUAUGUGUAUUCAGUAGGGAGAGAUGAGAAAGCCACUGCCAAACGCUUCUGACAGCGGCGCAUCUCCUGGGAGAACAACAGGACAAAAACAUUCACUUCACCUGAUCUUUCUCUCCAUCAUCAUCAUCUACUGGGGGAGAAUCGGGAGAUCCCCGUACAUGUUAAACUGCCUUUCUCGCCGAGUUCAGCAUAUAAUACACUAUUGUGUAUGGGGGCCUAUAGGCUAAUUUCAGACAUCCGUGCGGCAGCAACAACACCCGGACCCCUGGUGGUUCUGCUGAACUCAGGCUCUGUUCACACUACCAUUGCAGAUUCACAAAGCUCUGCCAAAUCCAUUGUUCAGCAGAUACCAUCUGUAUCUGACUGGUCACUUGUACUUAUAUUUGGAUGCAUCAGGUCCAUGUAGAAGGACCAUUCUAUAAACUUGCUGACCAUGCCCCAAAGUCAGAUACACUGGAAAGGAUCGUCCAUGUUGGAUUUCAACAGGUGUCUGUCUCUAGUAACAACCAGCAGAAUUACGAAUUCAGCUCUACAGUAUAUAACACAGGCCUUAACUCAGGAUCAGUACAAGAUGCAAAGUUACUUACCUUUUGAUAUGUAAACUAUAAAAUGGUGUUCAACAGUGGACAAAUGGACAAAUGCUAAGGUACAGUAUAACUUCUGUAUAUGUGAUAUUUGCUAUCUAUUGUCAUGCCACCUAUUUUUUGCUUGCACAUCAGCGAUGGACUUGAGGAAAACAAAAAUAUAAUGGAUACCUUUUUGGUUUGGAGGCUACAUGGUCAAACCUAAGGCCUUGGCUGCCUGGUCAUCUGAGGCUUCUGUAUUUUAUGUAGAUAGGGUCAGUGAACAUACCACUGCCUUCGUUGUAUAGUGUCUAUGGGAAAACUGUAAACCUCUUUCUAUUAUAUAAUCACGCUAACACCAUUGGGCGGUUCACAAAAGAAGGUUAUUGGUGUAAAAAAAAGCACAUAUUUACUACAUGUAACUUCUCGUGCAGGUCUGUGUAGAGAUGGAAACUUCUGGUUUUUAUCUUAUAUGUGCUAUUCUGUGCUAAUAAAUUCUCAUGAAAAGUGGUUUUACUACAAUGUUCAAAGUAAUGUAAUGUUAAUGUGCCUUUACACAAUACCUGACCUGUGAACACUGUAGGUUCAUGCAAUAUGUUGUAGUGAUGUGCGAUUUAGUAUUUUGUAUCAUUUAAAUGUUACAUUAUUGAUCAUACAUACGUGUGUACUCUUGUGCUAAAGCUGCUCAUAUUGGGAGGAUUACCUAGAUGACAGCUUAAAGGGUUUGUCACAGUUAUAUCAAAAAAAAUAUAUUGCACUGUAAAUAUGAUGGUAAGCAAUAUAUACAUAAGCUAAGAAAGUUUUGGGCAAAAAAAAAGUCAAGAUUUUCUCAUUUCCCUCGUUCUCUUCUUGCCCUUUGUUUACCAGCAAUAACAACAAUCUCUGUCCCUCCCCUGCUCUGCAAAGAGAGUGAAUACAAGUGCUGCCCUGAAUGACAUGUCUGAUUGCUGGGAUCCUUAGCAGCAUGUUGUAUGUGUCGGACUACAAGUCCCAGCUGUACAAUGACACUGCUGAUACACACAGGAUCUUCACCCUACUACUAGUUCUUGUGCAAUUUUCUGCAGAACUCCUCCAGUCUGUCAGCUUUGUGGCUGCAGGAUGAGAAGGGAAGAUCCCGUACCCAGCAUUUGUCUCUUCACUGCCUGCCGCUGCUCAGCAAAGCCUCAAGCCCUGAGUCUGUGCUACUGAUGGUAGAAGGGGUUAAACUUUCCUGAAGAAUCCAGUGGGAGGGAGACACAGUGGGAGAGAGCAGCAGCUCAGCCAGUGCAGGGGGCAUGGCCAGCACUGUAAAGUCUGGUGCACAGACACAGACCUGCUCCCCAGGCUUGUGUACAAAACAUCAUCAGAGCAGCGAGAGAAUAUCCCACUGCUCAUGAUAACAUAAGUAAAAAA